rnacentral:rRNA from 1 species
GGAUCAUUAUAGAGUUAUAAAAACUCCAAAACCCAUGUGAACAUACCUAUUGUUGCCUCGGCAGGUCGUGCUACCCUGUAGGAACUUACCCUGUAAGAACCUACCCGGUAGUACAUACCAGGCCUGCCGAAGGACCCAAAACGCUUGUUAUAAUUGGAACUCUGAGUAACUAUAUAAUAAGUUAAAACUUUCAACAACGGAUCUCUUGGUUCUGGCAUCGAUGAAGAACGCAGCGAAAUGCGAUAAGUAAUGUGAAUUGCAGAAUUCAGUGAAUCAUCGAAUCUUUGAACGCACAUUGCGCCCAUUAGUAUUCUAGUGGGCAUGCCUGUUCGAGCGUCAUUUCGACCAUUAAGCCCUAGUUGCUUAGCGUUGGGACUUUACAGCGAUGUAAUUCCUUAAAAUUAGUGGCGGAGUUGGAUCAAACUCUAAGCGUAGUAAUUUUUCCUCGCUUCUGUAGUUGGCCCGGCCCCUGCCGUAAAACCCCCUAUUUUUUAUGGUUGACCUCGGAUCAGGUAGGAAUACCCGCUGAACUUAAGCAUAUCAAUAAGCGGAGGAAAAGAAACCAACAGGGAUUGCCCUAGUAACGGCGAGUGAAGCGGCAACAGCUCAAAUUUGAAAUCUGGCCUUCUUGGUCCGAAUUGUAAUUUGUAGAGGAUGCUUUUGGCGCGGUGCCUUCCGAGUUCCCUGGAACGGGACGCCUUAGAGGGUGAGAGCCCCGUACGGUUGGACACCAAGCCUCUGUAAAGCUCCUUCGACGAGUCGAGUAGUUUGGGAAUGCUGCUCUAAAUGGGAGGUAAAUUUCUUCUAAAGCUAAAUACCGGCCAGAGACCGAUAGCGCACAAGUAGAGUGAUCGAAAGAUGAAAAGCACUUUGAAAAGAGGGUUAAAUAGCACGUGAAAUUGUUGAAAGGGAAGCGUUUACGACCAGACCUUUUCCUGGCGGAUCAUCCGGUGUUCUCACCGGUGCACUUCGCCUGGUUUAGGCCAGCAUCGGUUUCCGUAGGGGGAUAAAAGCUUGGGGAAAGUAGCUCUCUUCGGAGAGUGUUAUAGCCCUUUGCAUAAUACUUCUAUAGGGACCGAGGACCGCGCU